CCCUUAGAUGUUCUGGGCCGCACACGCGCUACACUGAAGGAGGCAGCGUGUACUCCUGGAUCGAAAGAUUUGGGUAACCCGCGAAUCUCCUUCGUGCUAGGGAUUGAGGUUUGCAAUUAUCCUUCAUGAACGAGGAAUUCCCAGUAAGUGCAAGUCAUAAGCUUGCGCUGACUACGUCCCUGCCCUUUGUACACACCGCCCGUCGCUACUACCGAUUGAAUGGUCCGGUGAAGCGUUCGGACCGUGGCCUUUGGACGGUUCGCCGUCUGUUGGCUGCGGGAAGUUCGUUAAACCUUAUCAUUUAGAGGAAGGAGAAGUCGUAACA
rnacentral:rRNA from 1 species